AUGUAUGUGAUGAACUCUUUGUUUGGAAGUUGUGCAUAUUUGGUAGCUAAGGGCAACUCCAACGUGAAUCGCCAAAUCCCCCGUAAAUGUCUGGACCAGACAGUCUGGAUAUUUUUUGCCAUCCCACACAUCAAAAUUGUCUGGACCUAUCCGAAUGUUCAAAAUCCUACAAAUUGGCACCAAAUGAGGGAGAGGUUUCUCCAACUCCUUCCUUCUUCAUGUGAUGUGUAUUUGCACCCUCGGCGACCACCGCCGCCGCUACACAACCCCGACCGCCACGCGGGCCUUAUCGGACCUUCGUCGCACAAUGCAAGCGCUUUCCUGCCUUGGAUUGCACCGCCGUUCUACCCUGGAUUCCAUCGCAGCAUAGGUAACCUCCGCUCCCUGCCGACAUCGUCCAUAGCAAACACUACGCCUGGCAAGUGCUCGGCCAAAUGCCAUUGCCAAGAAAUCUUAUGUUCUAGUUGUUUACUUUGA
rnacentral:rRNA from 1 species